AAUAAAUGCUGUGAUGUCUGGAGCCCUUUGCAGAAGGCAGAAGGCAAGCUCCUACAAUGGGCUUCUGUGGGGGCUUGCCAACAAGCACCGGCUAUCUUGCACAGGGCUCUGCUGACUGAAGUGAUCCCCACGGCCCGAGCGGGAGGAGAGGAGGGAGAGGAUGCCUCGGAGGGAAGAGGGAUAGCUUUGGAGGAGCCUUGCUGAUGCACUCGUGUUCACACAAACUCAAACACAAUGUCCCCUCUCAGUCCUAGGCUGUGACCGGCCCGUGGCAUUGCCCAGAUGGAUGUUCAUGUGAGCGGACGCAUUCUGCACUCCUCACUUUCACUUCCCUGCACCGGUCGGAGCCGAAAGCUCCUUCCUGUCGAUGUACUUGGCUAUAUCUGCGUCUGACCUGUCUGCCAUAUGUAAUAUCAAAGCCUCUGUCAGCACGGAGCUGAAUGGGAACAAAAGAGAGGCCUCUAUUAAUGAUUAACUGUUCUAAAAGCCUCGGCUUUUGUAUUCCCAUGGUGCCCAGGCUAUCUGGCCACCAUGUGACAUGCUCACAGCAUUUUUCGAGCAGAUUGGGGGAAAGCUAGUGAGCAAACACAGGUGCUUUGGAGCAGCGGUGCCGACGCUGUCAGGGACAACCACAAACAAGAGCAGCUAUGCCUGGCUAAAUGAAUCCCCACCCCUCCCAGCGCCAUCACCACCUCCUCAACCCCCCACUCUGUCACCAGCUAACUUGUUUGCUAGCUCCCUAUAGCUUUCUCCUUCUGCAUGGUCGCCACAAUCCGCCCCCCCCCCCCCUUCCCUCCCCUUCCUUGCACAAAUGCAAUGUCUGCCGCAGCCAGGCUCCAGAACUUCUCACACUCUCCAAAGAAACAAACAAAUAAAAGUGAGGACGGCCGACCACUUCUUUGAGGUGAUGGCAUUUGCUGCGGUCAUGACUAGUGGGAGAGCAAACAAAUUAAUGGUGUCCAUGUUUUCACUUUCUAAACUAAACUAAAAUAAACCAAACGUCUUUUAGCUCAAGUGGGGCAAUACCACUGACCCCGGUGUCAAAUGCUGCGUAAAGGUUGCACACUCUUGCACUUGAAAUGUUGAGAGGAGGCCAUAAGAAAUUAACCAGGACUUGAGCACAGCUGUACAUAAGUGGAAUAAAAAAAAACGAAUAGGUUAUAUAGCUAAAAUCAAGGCGAGUCAUUGUUUUAAAAAAAGAGGAUUUUAGCAGCCAUAACAAAAGGCAUCUGAGGCUCUUAACCUUUUCAUCAGAGUGACUCGGGGUGCUGUGUCGUUCGACUUUGAUAAGACAAUCAGAUGAUAGGAUGGCGUUAUCUUAACACGGCUUUUCCGGCUGGGAGACAAAUGAACAGUGUGUGAUAAAGGGAACAAAAGCUUUGCUCUUAUUGGCCGGUUCCUCCGAGAAAAGGAAAAAUUAUCAGCGUGGAAAAUUCACAUUAGGUGCUGGUAUUUCAUUUUCAAUUUGGUACUCAAGCCAGGUCCCAGGGACAGCUUUAUUUUUUUUUUUAUCACUUAAUAUUUCUAUUAUCUGAUGCUGGAUUUAAGGUUAAAAAACUGCAUUGACCUGAACCUGUAAACCAGUAAUCAAAGGAUAAAGGGGAUGAAUGUACUUCAUAAAAAAAAAAAAUGUUUACAUCAGGAAGAGAGGGAAUGUAGAUGUAAACAUGAACGUAGCAAAAGCAGAAAAAAAAACAUCUGGUUAGAAGAGAUGGAAAAAUAAAAAGAGAAAGAGAAAAUGUCAAAGCUUUUUUCUGGUGUUUGAGGCAAACGAGUUCUCACAGGAAAAAUUGUGAAAUGUGAUUUCCUCUUGAACCGUCCACUGAUCGAUGAAACAUCAAUUCUCUUCUGGGUUCGCUGACUUUUGCAGCCUAUUUCUCAGUGUAAGAAAAAAAAAAUGAGUAUACACAAGGAUUCGCUCAAAGUUUUGUUUGCCCACUUCCCCGAGAAAUGAUUGGAAAAAUAUUAGUGUCCGUUGGAAUGAAAUGUUAGCCCUGUGUUGGAACUAAAAAUAAUUUAAAACUAAAAACACCCUUAUAUUCUGCGAGGAUAAUAUAUUUAGUUUUAAGAAAAUGUGUUCUGUGUUAUUUGAGAUACCAUUUUUCUCUAUUACCCCCCAUGUCCUCCAAACACUAGACAUCCAUGGCCUUUAUUAUGGCUUUUUAAGGUUGGUCAUUCUUUCUGUCAAAAAUGUGUUGAAUGUGUGACUUUUUUAGCUGAAAUGUUCCAUCCAAAUUUAUUCAGAACAAAAACUUUGAAUACUUAGGCACUGUUAGCCUAUUUAAUCAACCAAAGUAGCCUUUAUGAGGCUGUCUUUUUAACUUUUACUUUUCAACUCCUCAUUCAUGUCUUGAAUUUGAUUUGAUUCAUUUUCCAAGUUUUGAUAAGUAAGGGAAAAGAUAAAUAAAAUUUAGUACAGAAAAAAAAAUGUUUUCAGACUUUAUUCCUCCUUGCAUUACACAAUUGAAAUAAAGCAAUUUAAAAAAUAA